AUGCCUCACGAUGUUGUUCUGCUUUGGAUUCUCUUACGGUUUUGCCACAGCCUCCCCAAGCCGGCAGUAGAGCUGCUCCCUUAUGAAGUUCCUCGACCCCGGGUGCUCCUCGCGUCGGCUGCACUAGACGACGCAUCGAACGCGGCCAUCCCCGUCGCAGCUCCAGUUUGCGCGGGAUCCAGCAGCCACUCCCUCAUGCCUUCCCUAUGCCAGCGGCGACAUCGAACGCGGCGGGUGUUGCCAUCCUCAUCGCCGCACCAGUUCGUGCGACAUCCAGCAUAUGCAAAGAAUGCGGCGGACGUGGCCAUCCCAGACCCAGUUGUUUCCCUAGUUCGUGCGGGAUCCAGCAGGAUGACCUCGGGAAGGAGCAGGUCCAUGGGCCAUGGCCGUAUUCAUGAUCUACUGUCACUGUUGCAAGGACACUAG
rnacentral:rRNA from 1 species